rnacentral:rRNA from 1 species
AUUGAACGCUAGCGGCAGGCCUAACACAUGCAAGUCGGACGAGCGGCGGACGGGUGAGUAAUGUAUGGGGACCUGCCUGGUGGCGGGGGAUAACUACUGGAAACGGUAGCUAAUACCGCAUACCAUCAGAUGAGCCCAUAUGGGAUUAGCUAGUAGGUAAGGUAACGGCUUACCUAGGCGACGAUCCGUAGCUGGUCUGAGAGGAUGAUCAGCCACACUGGGACUGAGACACGGCCCAGACUCCUACGGGAGGCAGCAGUGGGGAAUAUUGCACAAUGGGCGCAAGCCUGAUGCAGCCAUGCCGCGUGUAUGAAGAAGGCCUUCGGGUUGUAAAGUACUUUCAGUCGGGAGGCGUUACCGACAGAAGAAGCACCGGCUAACUCCGUGCCAGCCGCCGCGGUAAUUC